GAUGAACGCUAGCGGGAGGCCUAACACAUGCAAGCCGAGCGGUAGAGUUCCUUCGGGAACUUGAGAGCGGCGUACGGGUGCGUAACACGUGUGCAACCUACCUUUAUCUGGGGGAUAGCCUUUCGAAAGGAAGAUUAAUACCCCAUAAUAUAAUGAUUGGCAUCAAUUAUUAUUGAAAACUCCGGUGGAUAGAGAUGGGCACGCGCAAGAUUAGAUAGUUGGUGAGGUAACGGCUCACCAAGUCAAUGAUCUUUAGGGGUCCUGAGAGGGAGAUCCCCCACACUGGUACUGAGACACGGACCAGACUCCUACGGGAGGCAGCAGUGAGGAAUAUUGGACAAUGGGUGAAAGCCUGAUCCAGCCAUCCCGCGUGAAGGAUGACGGUCCUAUGGAUUGUAAACUUCUUUUGUACAGGGAUAAACCUACUCUCGUGAGGGUAGCUGAAGGUACUGUACGAAUAAGCACCGGCUAACUCCGUG
rnacentral:rRNA from 1 species